UCGAUAGAUGAUAAUGAUAAG
ensembl:piRNA 21ur-900 ncRNA